UACGGAGGGUGCAAGCGUUAUCCGGAUUCACUGGGUUUAAAGGGUGCGUAGGUGGGAAUGUAAGUCAGUGGUGAAAUCUCCGUGCUUAACAUGGAAACUGCCAUUGAUACUAUGUUUCUUGAAUCUUCCGGAGGUCAGCGGAAUAUGUCAUGUAGCGGUGAAAUGCUUAGAUAUGACAUAGAACACCAAUUGCGAAAGGCAGCUGACUACAGGGGCAUUGACACUGAGGCACGAAAGCGUGGGGAUCAAACAGG
rnacentral:rRNA from 1 species